AAAGUACGAGAUGACAUGAGCGCGCAUUUCUCCAAGUUUUUAACAAAAUGUGUCUUUCAGGCUCAUUGAAGUAACGUUUCAGCUCAGAAAGUGAAUUUCGGGGCAAGUUCUCUGAUUUACAGAUUCCACAGAUUAAAUAACAUGAAUGCCCAACGAACAUUUCGUACGACAACACUUGUCACUUUGUACUUCAUGUACAGGAAUGGCAGAUGCGCCGAGCCUCAGUGGGAAAAUAAUGGUAAAGCACACGUCAAAAGACAUGAAAGCUAUGAGACAUGAGGGAUGUUGUGUACCUUGACAACAUUUGUGCCAUCAGCUGCGGAGACAAAGUAAAAUGCUGAAUCCCCGAGACAGAUGAUUUUCACGGUGUUUUCACUCGUCUUUCCGCCCGCUUCGGGCAAGAUAGCGUCGCUUGUGUUCGCCG